rnacentral:sRNA from 1 species
CCUCCUCGAUCUGCUGCGGGCAGAUAAAGUGGAUAUGGGCGUCGAUACCGCCGGCAGUGGCGAUCAGUCCUUCGCCGGCAAUCACCUCGGUGCCGGGGCCGAUAACAAUGGUCACACCGGGCUGGAUAUCCGGGUUGCCCGCCUUGCCGAUGCCGACAAUGCGCCCGCCCUUGAUGCCUAUAUCGCCUUUGACGAUACCCCAGUGGUCGAGAACCAGAGCGUUGGUGAUCACCGUGUCCACCACCUCUGCCGCCGGGCGCUGGCUCUGGCCCAUACCGUCGCGG